UUACAACAGCUGUACCUACUCUUAGAAGAACUCAAAGUACCCCUAGACUUAAAGGCUGGGAGAUAUAUCCUAAAACGUUACAAAAAAAUAACCCCGUUAUUUUGCAACGAGCUACUACGAGCAAGGAUGAAGCAUAAUAAGUUAAACCGAGUUUAAAAACUAAAUUUAAAACGUCCUGACGGGAUCUCUCAAAUCCCAUGGAGGAGAGGUCAACUUUUGGUAUGGGACUAUUCCUGUAUUGACCCCUUGGCUUCAUCCAACCACGCCAUCAACAUCCUUGACCAUAAGGAACAACUUAAAACUUCUAAAUACACAGAAAUAAUUAACGACCAUUGCUUCAUCCCAAUCAUAUCAACCACUCUUGGCACCUUCGGCAAACUCGCCUUAGCAUUUUUCAAAAACUUAGGAUCACAAAUCAGCAAACUCUCAGAAGAACCUCGAGAGGGUUUUUUUCUUCGUCAACGAUUAUCCAUAGCGAUUCUCAAAGCUAAUUAUAUCAGUUUCAAUGGUAGUCUUCUAGCCAAAGAGCUAUCCUAGA